ACAGAUCUUGCUUGCAUCAAAUGCUGCUUUGAGGGUCACUCAACACGGAUGCUUCCUGUUGCAUCCAGGAGGCCACCGGACCACUCACCACAGGAGCUGAUGCACAUUCUUCAGCUGAACUUUACACCGUUGUCCCACCAUCCACUGAAUUGAACACCAUUCAGACUCAUGGCUGUAUCAGGUACAGAAUGAAUGAUUACAAACCACCAAUACAUCAGCAAAUCUUUUUUCGUGCGUUUUCUAAAUAGUGUGAGCAGUCACACACUAAGAAUUUCUGACAUAUCUCUCGACUUGUACCUAGAAUUUGAGUAUCUAUUUCUGUCAGUAAUAAUUGAUUGUUACCACAACAGCUCUUCAUAGUGUGGGUGGGGGUGAAAGAGGAUUGUGUUCAUCAGUUUCUGUGUUCAUGUGUGUGAUGGAUGAUGUUCUGACUGGUCUGUCCCCACCCCGACUCCACAGCAGUGACAUGCGUGUGGUGUGUAGAGACUCCAACGGUUGUGUCAGUGUUCUCUCGCUGACGGCGCCGGGGCUAGAGACCACGGCCCAGUGGAAGGCUCUGAGGCCUGGAUCACAGUCAUCUCCUUCUAGGACACCCAGCUGCUCUACUCAGGUAACCCCCCCACACACACACACACACACACACACACACACACGCCACCGGUUUCACUCACUUUUAGAAGUGGGGCAGGGUAGUCUAAAGUCAGAUAACAUGAAUUCAGAAGUACAUUUUGCACUUAUAGAUUUUAUUAUAAAAAACAAUACUUUAUAAAAAAAAAUUAUUUGAGCUGCUAUAAUGCCGUUUCCCCUCGGUGAUGAAUGAAGUACAUAUGUAUUUAUGUAUCUAUCAAUAUAGUUGUUGGGGUGUUUGUCUCCCAGCUGAAAAAGUAUUGGAAUCAACCACCAAUGUCGCUGGAGAGGGAGGCCCAGAAAGGGCCAUCAAGGCCUCAAUUCAGUCAAACUACAGGAGUCGGAUGAUAAGCAUAUUAACUAAAGUGUGUGUGUGUGUGUGUGUGUGUGUGUGUGUGUGUGUGUGUGUGUGUGUGUGUGUGUGUGUGUGUGUGUGUGUGUGUGUGUGUGUGUGUGUGUGUGUGUGUGUGUGUGUGUGUGUGUGUGUGUCACAGCAAGCUGAAAGGCUGGGACCCCAGGAUGGAGCUCUCCUCUCCCACUUUCACCAGCAAGAGAAGAUGCUGCUGCUACUGCUGCUGCCUCAGCACUACACUUGACGAGAGUCUGCACUACGGUCUGUCCAAAGGCUGCAUCCCACAUGGCCGGUGGAACUACGUGCUCUUUAGCACAGGGGUCCAGGACCUCCUUGUCCCCAGUCUGGGAGGGUCCUGAACCCCACGGCCUGGACCCCCUUGGGGGAGGGGGGAAUUAAUUUGGCCUUUUCAAAUUGAAAUAAUAAAUGGAAAGGCAUGGCUUGGACAAUCUCUCCAAAGGCUAAUGCCUCCUUUGCUCUCAUUUAAUAACUGGAGGAGAGACCCUAGCUGCUCCUUCUGGCCCGCAUAUGCAUGGCGCUUAUAGGGAGGCCAACCUCUAAGCUGUGAGGUUGGGCUCCCGGGAGAUGCCAAGGCCGGGUCUCUGCCUCCAGGGCGUACACAAACAAGUGUGUCUUGUUGACUGGAGGAGAGUCCAUAGCUGCUACUUUGGCCCGAUAUGCAUGGCGCUUAUAGGGAGGCCAACCUCUAGCGGUGAGGUUGGCCUCCCGGGAGAUACCAUGGCCCGGGUCUCUGCCUCCAGGUGGGGGCGGGGACUUGUACAGGGUCAGUGAUGUAUGUUGUCUGUUGUAGUUGUUUCAUGUUUGUUGGUUUUAAUAAAUCCAGUUUCUGACUAAACUGAAGUGUUUAUUGAUGUGUUGAUAUGAAUUUAAAUGGUAUAUCCUCUGGAUUCAUUGCAUGUUUGUGGCUAUAAUUAUCAACCCUGUAAUGCAAAGACAGGCUUCAAACAUUGCUUUCAGGAAAACCUGGCCUGUCAUGAGUAUUUGUGCUGCGGUGAUAUCGUUUGAAAGUAAAAACUUAUGAUGGGACAACAAAGUCAAACGGAAAUUGAAUCUCACAAUUAUAUAUGUUACCAAAACAAAGUUGGUGCUUUUUGGCUUAAACUCAAAAGUACAAAUCUACCCAUACUAUAUACAGUAUAACUACACAAAACAGCGUAUACAAUGUACAGUAUAUUAUACUUUCAUACAGGUGAUCAAACCAAGGAUCCGCUCUCUACAAUGUCCCAUGUGGAGCAAAGGUUAUCUUAUGAAAAGGUAAGAAAGCCCUUCAGUGUCUACUACUGACGGUACACUUGACAGUGUAGUACGGUCUACAGCUAUGCUUAGAACGCUUCCGAACAUCGCCGAAACUCCACCG
ensembl:lncRNA